rnacentral:rRNA from 1 species
CCUGGGAAGUACGUACGCAAGUAUGAAACUUAAAGGAAUUGGCGGGGGAGCACCACAAGGGGUGAAGCCUGCNNNNNNAUUGGAGUCAACGCCAGAAAUCUUACCUGGGGAGACAGCAGAAUGAAGGUCAAGCUGAAGACUUUACCAGACACGCUGAGAGGUGGUGCAUGNCNNNCGCCAGCUCGUGCCGUGAGAUGUCCUGUUAAGUCAGGUAACGAGCGAGACCCCUGCGUCUAGUUGCUACCAUUACUCUCUGGAGCAGUGGAGCGAAUUAGACGGACCGCCACAGUUAAUGUGGAGGAAGGAAGGGGCCACGGCAGGUCAGUAUGCCCCGAAACCCUAGGGCUACACGCGGGC